GAGUUUGAUCUUGGCUCAGGACGAACGCUGGCGGCGUGCUUAACACAUGCAAGUCGAACGGAAAGGCCCUUCGGGGUACUCGAGUGGCGAACGGGUGAGUAACACGUGGGUGAUCUGCCCUGCACUUUGGGAUAAGCCUGGGAAACUGGGUCUAAUACCGGAUAGGACUACGCGAUGCAUGUCGUGUGGUGGAAAGCUUUUGCGGUGUGGGAUGGGCCCGCGGCCUAUCAGCUUGUUGGUGAGGUUACGGCUCACCAAGGCGACGACGGGUAGCCGGCCUGAGAGGGUGACCGGCCACACUGGGACUGAGAUACGGCCCAGGCUCCUACGGGAGGCAGCAGUGGGGAAUAUUGCACAAUGGGCGCAAGCCUGAUGCAGCGACGCCGCGUGAGGGAUGACGG
rnacentral:rRNA from 1 species